rnacentral:ncRNA from 1 species
ACGAGAGUUUGUAACACCCGAAGUCGGAGGGUAAACCUUUAUGGAGCCAGCCGCCGAAGGUGGGACAGAUAAUUGGGGUGAAGUCGUAACAAGGUAGCCGUAUCGGAAGGUGCGGCUGGAUCACCUCCUUU